ensembl:lncRNA
UAUGGGGCUGGAUAUGGGGCUGGAUAUAGGGCUGCUAUGGGGCUGGAUAUGGGGCUGCUAUGGGGCUGGAUAUGGGGCUGGAUAUGGGGCCGCUAUGGGGCAGGGUGUGGGGCAGGACAUAAGGCAGGGUAUGGGGUGGGAUAUGGGGCAGAGCAUAGGGUAGGAUAUGGGGUGGGAUACAGGGCAGAGCAUAGGGUAGGAUAUGGGGCUGGAUAUGGGGCUGGCCAUAGGACAGGAUAUGGGGGAGGUUAUAGGACAGGAUAUGGGGCAGGAUGUGGGACAGGAUAUAGGACAGGAUGUGGGUGCGGUAAUGAGGCAGGAUAUGGGACAGGAUAUGGGGCUCGAUAUGGGGGAGGUUAUGGGGCUGAAUGGGGGCUGGAUGUGGGGCAGGACAUGGGGGGAGGUUAUGGGGCAGGGCUGGGAUCUGUAGGGAAGGACCUAUGGGGACAAGAACUAUGGGUCAGGGCUGGAAUCUAUGGGGCAGGAUCUAUGGGGCAGGAUCUAUGGGGCAGAAUCUAUGGGGCGGAUCUAUGGGGCAGGAUCUAUGGGGCAGGAUCUAUGGGGCAGGGCAGGAUCUAUGGGGCAGGAUCUAUGGGUCAGGACCUAUGGGGCAGGAUCUAUGGGGCAGCGCUGUUCCCCACGUGCCGCCGGACCCAGGUGCCACUUCCGCGUUGUGGCCGGGCCUGGGGGAAGUAGCCAAUGGGAGGAGGGGGCGUGGCCAAGAUCGAAAUGAGUGACGGGGAGAGUGACCAAUGGGAGGCGAGGGAAUGGCCGAGACCGAUCGGGAAGGGGGGAGAGUGGCCAAUGGGAGGAGGGGGCGUGGCCAAGGUUUCUUCGGGGCGUGGCUUAGGGUGGGUGUGGGCAGAGUGGCCAAUGGGAGCUGUGCGAGGGUGGGCGUGGCCAAUGGGAAACAAGGGGGCGUAGUUUCGAGCAGGUGUGGGCGUGGCUUUGGGUGACGGGGCGCGGCCAAGGCGAACGGGGCGUGGUUUAGGGUGGGUGUGGGCGUGGCCUGGGGGGCACUGGCCAAUGGGAGGCGUGGAUUCGCGUAGGAGUGGGCGUGGCCUGGGGGUGGGCGUGGGUUAGGUGGCUCAGGGGGCGUGGCCAAGGAGAAGGGGCGUGGCUUACAGCGGGCGUAGGGGUGGCCUGGGGGGACAGUGGCCAAUGGGAACGUGGGGGCGUAGUUUCGAGUAGGAGUGGGCGUGGCCUGAGGGCGUGGGCGUGGCUUAGGAAAAAGUGGGCGUGGCCAAGGAGAAGGGCGUGGUUUAGAGCGGGUGUGGGCGUGGCCUGAGGGACAGUGGCCAAUGGGAAUUGAGAGAGCGUGGGGGGUGUGGUUUCGAGUAGGAGUGGGCGUGGCCUGGAGGUGUGGGCGUGGCUUAGAUGACUUGGGGGCGUGGCCAAGGGAGAAGGGGGCGUGGUUUAGAGUGGGUGUGGGCGUGGCCUGAGGGGGACACUGGCCAAUGGGGGGCGUGGAUUGGAGUAGGAGUGGGCGUGGCCUGGGGUGUGGGCGUGGCUUGGGUGACUCGGGGGCGUGGCCAAGGAGAAGGGGGCGUGGUUUAGAGCGCGUGUGGGCGUGGCCUGAGGGACAGUGGCCAAUGGGAACGUGGGGGCGUGGUUUCGAGUAGGAGUGGGCGUGGCCUUGGGGUGGGCGUGGCCUUAGAUGGCUCGGGGGCGUGGCCAAGGAAAAGGGGGCGUGGUU